AUUGAACGCUGGCGGCAUGCCUUACACAUGCAAGUCGAACGGCAGCACGGGAGCAAUCCUGGUGGCGAGUGGCGAACGGGUGAGUAAUGUAUCGGAACGUGCCCAGUCGUGGGGGAUAACGUAGCGAAAGCUACGCUAAUACCGCAUACGAUCUAUGGAUGAAAGCGGGGGAUCGCAAGACCUCGCGCGAUUGGAGCGGCCGAUAUCAGAUUAGGUAGUUGGUGGGGUAAAGGCUCACCAAGCCGACGAUCUGUAGCUGGUCUGAGAGGACGAGCAGCCACACUGGGACUGAGACACGGCCCAGACUCCUACGGGAGGCAGCAGUGGGGAAUUUUGGACAAUGGGCGCAAGCCUGAUCCAGCAAUGCCGCGUGCAGGAUGAAGGCCUUCGGGUUGUAAACUGCUUUUGUACGGAGCGAAAAGGCUUCCACUAGUACUGGGGGCUCAUGACGGUACCGUAAGAAUAAGCACCGGCUAACUACGUGCCAGCCGCCGCGGUAAAAC
rnacentral:rRNA from 1 species